UACGGAGGAUGCGAGCGUUAUCCGGAUUUAUUGGGUUUAAAGGGUGCGUAGGCGGACGCUUAAGUCAGCGGUAAAAUUGCGGGGCUCAACCUCGUCGAGCCGUUGAAACUGGGUGCCUUGAGUGGGCGAGAAGUACGCGGAAUGCGUGGUGUAGCGGUGAAAUGCAUAGAUAUCACGCAGAACUCCGAUUGCGAAGGCAGCGCACCGGCGCCCAACUGACGCUGAAGCACGAAGGCGUGGGUAUCGAGCAGG
rnacentral:rRNA from 1 species